rnacentral:rRNA from 1 species
CCUGGUUGAUCCUGCCAGUAGCAUAUGCGUGUCUCAAAGAUUAAGCCAUGCAUGUGUAAGUACAAACGACUUGUCAGUGAAACUGCAAAUGGCUCAUGAAAUCAGUUAUGGUUCCUUUGAUCGCUCCAUCUGUUAUUUGGAUAACUGGUAAUUCUAGAGCUAAUACAUCCUGGAUGCACGCAUUUAUCAGACCAAGACAAAUCCAUGCUCGCCGGCCGCUUUGGUGACUCUAGGUAACCUCAGGCCGAUCGCACUUCAUAUGACCGCGACGAUGCAUUCAGAUGUCUGCCCUAUGGACGUUCGAUUGCACUUUCUGUGCGUACCUUGGUGACCGCGUGUAAUGGGGAAUCGGGGUUCAAUUCUGGAGAGGGAGCCUGAGAAACGGCUACCACAUCAAAGAAUGCAGCAGGCGCCCAAAUUACCCUAUCCCGACUCCGGGAGGUAGUGACGAAAAAUAACAAUACAGGACUCUUUCGAGGCACUGUAAUUGGAAUGAGUACACUUUAAAUCCUUUAACGAGUAGCCAUUGGAGGGUAAGUCUGGUGCCGGCAGCCGUGGUAAUUCCAGCUCCAAUAGCAUAUAUUAAAGUUGCUGCAGUUAAAAAGCUUGUAGUUCGAUCUUGGGAUCGAGCUGGCGGUCCGCCGCGAGGCGAGCUACCACUGCCUGUCCCAGCCCCUGCCUCUUGGUGCCCCCUUGAUGCUCUUGACUGAGUGUCCUGGGGUUCUCAGGCGUUUACUUUGAAAAAAGUAGUGUAGUGCCUGAAUACUUAAGCUAGGAAUAAUGGAAUAGGACACUGGUUCUAUUUUGUUGUUUUUCGGAACUGGGGCCGUGAUUAAGAGGGACGGCCGGGGGCAUUCGUAUUGUGCCGCUAGAGAUGACAUUCUUGGACCAGCGCAAGACGAACCUAAGUGAAAGCAUUAGCCAAUAAUAUUUUCAUUAAUCUACUGUCGUAGUUCCAAACAUAAACUAUGCUGAUUAGCGAUCUGGUGGUGUUAUUCCCAUGACCCACCAGCAGUUCCAGGAAACCAAAGUCUUUGGGUUCUGGGGGGGGGGUAUGGUUGCAAAGCUGAAACUUAAAGGAAUUGAUGGAAGGGCACCACCAGGAGUGGAGCCUGCGUCUUGAAACCUCUCCCGGCCGGACACGGAAAGAUUGACAGAUUGAUAGCUCUUUCUCGAUUCUGUGGGUAGUGGUGCAUGGCCAUUCUUAGUUGGUGGAGUGAUUUGUCUGGUUAAAUCCGACAACGAACGAGACUCCUCCAUGCUAACUAAUUAUUUGCCAUGAAUGAGGAAUUCCCAUUAAGUGCGAGUGCAUGCCUGAGGCAGACAAGAGGGCAUGCGUGGGGCAGACAAGUGGACAGUCGUGAGACGGACAAGAGCGCAUGCGCGGAGCAGACUAGACCGCGCAGGGCGUACCGGAGUGUAUUGGACCAGACUGUGAUGUACAGAAUGCAUAGGUGUGCACGGUACGGACUGGAUCGCAUAGAAUUGCGUGACGUAAAUAGUAUGGUUUAGAAUGCAGAGAACGUUUGAAAGAGCAUAUAACUCAUCAUAUCACACUGCCACGCUUACUCUCUCCUUUACAUCACCACUCAACUAGAACACAGAUACUAUGACACCAUUCAGUAUAACUGUUCUCAUACCAACAUCCGCCGCUCACUCCACAUCAU